rnacentral:rRNA from 1 species
UAGGUGAACCUGCGGAAGGAUCAUUAAAGAGAUAGGGUCUUCAUGGCCCGACCUCCAACCCUCUGUUGUUAAAACUACCUUGUUGCUUUGGCGGGACCGUCUCGGUCUCCGAGCGCACUAACCCUCGGGUUGGUGAGUGCCCGCCAGAGUCCAACCAAACUCUUGUAUUAAACCAGUCGUCUGAGUAUAAAAUUUUAAUUAAAUUAAAACUUUCAACAACGGAUCUCUUGGUUCUCGCAUCGAUGAAGAACGCAGCGAAAUGCGAUAAGUAAUGUGAAUUGCAGAAUUCAGUGAAUCAUCGAAUCUUUGAACGCACAUUGCGCCCCUUGGUAUUCCGAGGGGCAUGCCUGUUCGAGCGUCAUUACACCACUCAAGCAUCGCUUGGUAUUGGGAACGGUCCGUCGAAAGGCGGGCCUUCCUCGAAGACCUCGGCGGGGUUCAACCAACUUCGGGCGUAGUAGAGUUAAAUCGAACGUCUUAUAAGCUUGGUCGGAUCUCAUUGCCGUUAAACCUUUAAAUUUUCUAAGUUGACCUCGGAUCAGGUAGGGAUACCCGCUGAACUUAAGCAUAUCAAUAAGCGGAGGA